CCUCGAUCUCACUCUAUUUCUAUUCAACUUCGUUGCUGCUUUACUUUUCCGCCGAUGAUUUCUCGGCAUUUGAUCUCUUCGGAUUGUGAUUUGCUAUGGCGGGAAUAUCUGGUUUUGGGGUCCAUAAAUGCUGAAAUUUAUGCUUCAGGAAUCUUUAAUUGUCUGAUUAGUUCGUUGAUUAGUGGGAUUGAUGAAGCUUGGCGCUUGAUCAAUGGGUUUAGGAUUCACGAUCAAUUGGCAUCAUAGCCGGGCUUGUUGUUGCUAUUUUUUUCAUCUGGAGGGCAAUAAGAACACCAGGGGUUCGCCAAAGAAAGCACCCGAGAGGAGGGUAAUAAUUGCUGGGAGUUCUUCUGCAGUUACUCAGACAAACAUAGCACCUAUCCCUCCUGGAGUUUCUUUGUCUUGGGAGGAUACCUGAUUACAAAAUAUGGUCGACGAGUUCUUUCAACCAGUAAAAGCUGGCCGAGGGGCAUAUUAAUAUAGUCAGGCGGAAACUUGGUGAAGGAAGACAAGUGAUUGAUAGUUGGCUGUGAUAUUGUCAUUGAAUUCUGUUCUGAUUAAGUUUAAUGGUUUUUUUUAAUAUUUUUCAGUUGCAGCUUUACCCUUGAGCCACAAUACAUCCGCAAUGAUGUAUCUUUCUUGGUGUUCUUAGAGUUAUGGAUAGUUGUGACUGUAGGAUGAAAUGCUUUUUUUUCUUUCUUGCUAUAAUUUCGCAAAGUCGGUUCUACGGGCUGACUUACUUAAGGAAGCAGUUGAGUCAUUUUCUUUUGGUCAGACAAAAAUCUUGGGUUAUGCUUUAUCCUCGUCUAAUAGCAAUAUGCUUUUGUAGGUAACAUGCCGCCUUCUUGGAGUGAUUCUUGAGGAAACAACUCCUGAAGAACUCCAGAUUUUCUCGUCAAGAGUUCUGAAACUCACAUUUCGAGCCUUACUGUACACAGACCACGAUUCUUCAGGCUUUAAAAAUGCAGGCCUUUCGCAUCGGGUGGUUUGGACAAAGACAAGGUUCUCUUUUUUGGCGCAGAAAUUGGAAGAACAUCCUCUGUCUGGGAACUAGAACCUGAAUGAAUGGCAUAUGGACACAAACCCGGAAAUCAUCACCCAAUUAUCUGUACAUCUCCAUCCUUUAUAUGCAUUCAUAUCCUCUCAAACUUUCCCGAGUUUUUUUUCCCCCUGCUUGCUUUGCUGCGGAGGUUCAUCAAGUAUCAUCCUCAUGUUUCUACCCGUAAAACCCGAGUGGACAGCUCCUCCGAACGUUUUUCAGCUCGCCGUCCUUAGAGCAUUUCUUCAGAAGCCUUUGAUGAGAGAAGCCUGAGAAGUAUAAUACUUUGGAGAGAUCAUUAACUAGUUUGUGGUGUUGUUUUUUUGUUUAGUAUCAGCAGAAAGUGUUGGGAGAUAGAAAUCUAAUAUGUUUAUUGAUGGUGGUGGUGAUGAGUUCCCUCUCCUCUCAUGCGUUCUUUCUUUUAUUACAACAGAAUUUCCUGAAAUGGAAAUUGUCACAUAAUGAAGAAUAUAUUACAUGUUUUUUU